rnacentral:tRNA from 2 species
GCGACUGUGGUGUAGUGGUAGCACAGUAGCUUCCCAAGCUCCUGGUGAGGGUUCGAUUCCCUUCAGUCGCU